UACGUAGGGGGCGAGCGUUGUCCGGAAUCAUUGGGCGUAAAGCGCGUGUAGGCGGCCCGGUAAGUCCGCUGUGAAAGUCCAGGGCUCAACCCUCGAAUGCCGGUGGAUACUGUCGGGCUAGAGUGCGGAAGAGGCGAGUGGAAUUCCUGGUGUAGCGGUGAAAUGCGCAGAUAUCAGGAGGAACACCAAUUGCGAAGGCAGCUCGCUGGGACGUAACUGACGCUGAGACGCGAAAGCGUGGGGAGCGAACAGG
rnacentral:rRNA from 1 species